GUUCGUGCUCAUUUCUUGUUUCUUAAUAAACAUAAAAUAUGUAGGUUAAUGUAAAUACCUCCAUUUGAUCACCCAUGAGGAUUAGGAGUGCUUCAGGUAGAGUGGGGACUGUAAACCAAUGCUGAUUUUGGAGAAUUUGAAGGCCUUCAACUUCAUCUUGCAAGAU